rnacentral:rRNA from 1 species
CCUACGGGUGGCAGCAGUGGGGAAUAUUGGUCAAUGGGCGCAAGCCUGACCCAGCAACGCCGCGUGAAGGAAGAAGGCUUUCGGGUUGUAAACUUCUUUUCUCAGGGACGAAACAAGUGACGGUACCUGAGGAAUAAGCCACUGCUAACUACGUACAAGCAGCCGCGGUAAUACGUAGGUGGCAAGCGUUAUCCGGAUUUACUGGGUGUAAAGGGCGUGUAGGCGGGACUGCAAGUCAGCAGUGAAAGCCAUGGGCUCAACCUAUGACCUGCAUUUGAAACUGUAGUUCUUGAGUACUGGAGAGGCAUACGGAAUUCCUAGUGUAGCGGUGAAAUGCGUAGAUAUUAGGAGGAACACCAGUGGCGAAGGCGGUCUGCUGGACUGCAACUGACGCUGAGGCACGAAAGCGUGGGGAGCAAACAGGAUUAGAUACCCCAGUAGUC